GAUGAACGCUGGCGGUAUGCUUAACACAUGCAAGUCGAACGGACUCUUCGGAGUUAGUGGCGGACGGGUGAGUAACGCGUGAGAAUCUGGCUUUGGGUUCGGGACAACCACUGGAAACGGUGGCUAAUACCGGAUGUGCCGAGAGGUAAAAGAGAAAUUGCCUGAAGAUGAGCUCGCGUCUGAUUAGCUAGUUGGUGAGGUAAAGGCUCACCAAGGCAGCGAUCAGUAGGUGGUCUGAGAGGAUGACCAGCCACACUGGGACUGAGACACGGCCCAGACUCCUACGGGAGGCAGCAGUGGGGAAUUUUCCGCAAUGGGCGAAAGCCUGACGGAGCAAUACCGCGUGAGGGAAGAAGGCUCUUGGGUUGUAAACCUCUUUUCUUAGGGAAGAACAAAAUGACGGUACCUAAGGAAUCAGCAUCGGCUAACUCCGUG
rnacentral:rRNA from 1 species